AUGAAGAGAUUGGGACACUCUGUUGAAAUGGAAUGGUAUCUGUCAAAAGGCUUGAUCAGCACCGCACACAGACCUCUCACCGUGAAGGUGUGGCUCAACUCGAUCUGGUUUUUGCCUCUUUUAAAUGGUAUCCCGUGUGAGAGGCAGCUGGUGGAGUCUGGGGGAGGCUUGGUGAAGCCUGGGAGUUCUCUGAGACUCUCCUGCGCAGCCUCUGGAUUCAGCUUUGAUGAUGCCUGCAUGCACUGGGUGCGCCAGCCUCCCGGGAAGGGGCUGGAAUGGGUUGCUACCAGUAGAAACCAAGCCGAUAGUUUCACCACAGAGUACAGCCUAUUUGUGGAGCACCGGUUCACCAUCUCCAGAGAGAAUUCCCAAAACAUCCUCUACUUUCAAAUGAACAGCCUGAGAGUUGAGGACACUGCAACUUACUACUGUAGAGGAGAGAGACACAUUGAGGGCAGUGCCUGUGAGCCCCGACACAAACCUCCUUGCAGAGGUGUUCAGCACCAACAGGGGGCGCGCAUGGUCAGAAAAAGAGAAAAGGCCUUGCCUCUCCAUGUACUAAUUUUCCUUAGGAAAGUUCUCUGGAGCGUUUACAAUGCUGUAUUAAUGCACAAGUCCCUGCCUUGGAAAGUGGCCACUAAACAGAAUGGCUGA